UACGUAGGGUGCAAGCGUUGUCCGGAAUUAUUGGGCGUAAAGAGCUUGUAGGCGGUUUGUCGCGUCUGCUGUGAAAUUUCGGGGCUCAACCUUGGGCUUGCAGUGGGUACGGGCAGACUAGAGUGCGGUAGGGGUGACUGGAAUUCCUGGUGUAGCGGUGGAAUGCGCAGAUAUCAGGAGGAACACCGAUGGCGAAGGCAGGUCACUGGGCCGCAACUGACGCUGAGGAGCGAAAGCAUGGGGAGCGAACAGG
rnacentral:rRNA from 1 species